rnacentral:lncRNA from 1 species
CGUCUUCGCCUCCUCGAACGACUGAGAACCAGUGGUGUGUACUAUCCGGAGCUGACCACGGUUCUUCUUCACCUGCUCGGACUUUUUCUUGUAGUCAUCAGCCUCCCAGUGAGCACACAUAGCCUCCCAGGCUAAAUCGGAGACUAUACGGGGCUGAUGAUCUCUAAUGGUGGUCCCGGCUGGUCCACAACUGCCCGGGCUGCCUUCUGUCGCAUCUCAUACAGCCAUCCAGAGUAAUUCGCAGCGACGUGAUGCUCAAUCACAACAUCGCCAGCUGACUAAGAGAUGCUCGGGUCAAAUCGAUAAUAAACAUAUAACAAAAGAUUAUUUAAAAUUAAGAACAUUUGAUUUCGUCAUCCUAAUACAACUAUGUGGUGAUAAUAUGCUUAACUUACGUGAAACUCCCGCAAGACAGUCUGCAUAAAAGUGGCAUCGUACCGCGCAUACUGACUGAACCGCAUGCACCCUCUCGGGAAAUGCAUCAAACAAAUCGCA